rnacentral:rRNA from 1 species
AGCAGCCGCGGUAAUUCCAGCUCCAAUAGCGUAUAUUAAAGUUGUUGCAGUUAAAAAGCUCGUAGUUGAAUUUCGGGGUCAGUAGGUUGGUCGUGCCACUGGUAUGUAUUGGUCUCACUGACUCCUCCUUCCUGAUGAACCGUAAUGCCAUUAAUUUGGUGUUGCAGGGAAACUGGACUGUUACUUUGAAAAAUUAGAGUGUUUAAAGCAAGCUAACGCUUGAAUACAUUAGCAUGGAAUAAUGAAAUAGGGCGAUCGAUCCUAUUUUGUUGGUUUCUAGGAUUAACGUAAUGAUUAAUAGGGAUAGUUGGGGGCAUUAGUAUUCAAUUGUCAGAGGUGAAAUUCUUGGAUUUAUUGAAGACUAACUACUGCGAAAGCAUUUGCCAAGGAUGUUUUCAUUAAUCAAGAACGAAAGUUAGGGGAUCG